ACUUGAACCUGUCUCUAACUCCAGAGACUGUAGUUUCUCUGUAAGUGAGAAUACUGACGCCAUACAAAGAAUUUUAAAACUGUAAGAUGGUGACAGAUACCAUUCUCUUCUGACCUGUCCUCAGGCCAGGUCCUGAAGUCCAGGUUGAAAGCAUGACCUUUCUUUCUCCCUAUCUCCUCAACCACGCUUCCCUAGGAGGGUCAGAGUGCAAGAGGUAGGGUCUGGGACUGGGGACCCCUGGGUCAGCCUUGCCCGCCACUCCCACCUGGACCCUUCCCAUCCUCAUUUCUACCCCACACUGCUCAAUGUCCUUGAGAGACAAGGUGGUGUCACUGUUGUGGCAUUUCUCCUCCACUAUCAGUUGCACAAGAGGAUUUUUCUCCUGUGCUCAGAGUGGGAAGAAGACCAAGAAGGUCUGUACAGUAACUUGAGACCCCUAGGGCCCAGUUUGGGCUCUUAGGAGGCCAGCAGUGCCUCAACUUUCUCAUCUGUGUUUAGAAUUCACUUUGCAGAGAAAAUGGGUGGACUCUUGGGGAGAGGAGGGCCUGAGUGUCAGAGAAAUUUGGGUACCAGUCUUUUGUAAAAUGGAAUCUAUUGAUAAUGCCACCACCAGUCUUACCUGACCCCACAAGAGUUGCAGUAAGAACUCAAAAUGGAUAAUGGCCACACAGUGCUCUGGGAAAUGCGAAGUGCCUCAUAAACAUAAGGUGGUAUUAUUCGCAGAAGCCACUGCAGGCAACAGGAAUACAAAGAUGAAUGCCAUCUUGGAAUCUUUCAGGCUAGCAGGGGAAAUAUGAAUGGCUAUACAAAGAGUUAAAAUAUAAAACAGGGCAUGCAAAUGCUCCACCAAUAUGCCCACGUGGUGCCAACUCAUACUGAUUUUGUAAUAACAAAGAAUAGACACAGGUCUAUCUGGGUACCUCUACUACUAUUGCAAGAACUCCUUCUCUUCACAAUAGCUCUAGCCAAUCUGUCUCCCCUCUCCAAUUAGCCUCCUUCUUACCACCUGUGUGAUCUGUGGCAGGAUUUUUUUUUUCCCUUUGGGGUGUGUUUGUAUUAGUUCCCUAUUGCUGCUGUGAUAGAUAACCACACACAUAGUGGCUUAAAACAACACUUUUGUUAUCUUACAGUUCUGUAUGUAAGAAGUCCAAAAUGUGUCUCACCGGGCUAAAAUCAAGGUGUCAGCAGGACUGUUCCCUGUUCCUUCUGGAGGCACUGGGGGAGACUCUGUUUCCUUGACGUCUCCAGAUUUUUGAGACCACUUGCAUUCCUUGGUCUGUGGCCCCUUCUCCGUCUUCAAAGCUAUCAGUGACCAGCUGAGUCUUUCUCACAUUGAAUCACUGCCACCUCUGCUUCUGUGGACAUGUCUUCUCUGCCUAACACUCUUUUCUCCCCAUCUCAAGACUCUUAAUAUAAUUAUAUCUUUAAAGUUCCUUUUGCUUUGUAAGGCAGCAGUUUCACAGGUUCCAGGGAUUAGGACCUGGAGGGAGGGGGAGGGAGCAUUUAUCAAAACAACAAAAACCCUAGGGCCUCAAACAAAACAUUUUUUAAAAGAGAAAUAUAAAAGGUUCAACUCUUCUUCUUCAAAGAAGUAACACAUAAACUUUUUCUAUAAAUGUAACAAAUUCUGAAAAAAAAGACAAAAAUAAAAACUUUCAGUUCCUAACUACACCCAUAAAAAAUCAGACUCCCUGGUGUCAGGGAAGAAGAAACAAUAGGUGACACCAAAUAGACUCCACAUAAAAGGGUAGGGAAAGGCUCCCUAGGUUGGGAAGUUAUAAUAUGUGCUUCACUGGGAAUGUAGGUAGAGCCCUUGGAAAUGAUUAGUUGUUAACAAUUGUCCACAGCUCUUCAGCUGCUUUACUUUAUAAUCCUUUGGUGCAGUAGACAUCGAAAACAUUUUUUUUUUAAAGAAAUCAAUAAACUGUAUUUUUUAGAAAAAUUUUAGUUCACAGCCAUAUUGAGCAGAAAGUAGAGUUCCCUGUCCCUACACCCUCCUCCCACUUAAACCAUUUUAAAAGCAUUAAUAGAAUUCUUGGCUCCUUAUUUUCCCCCCCAAAAGAAAUUCCUACAUAAAAAAAUAAAAAUCGUGCUGCUCUGGUUCAAGUGAACUCACGGAGUCCCUCAACCUCUAUAAAUCCUACUGCAUGGUUUAACACUGUGGAAUAAUGAGAAUAACUCAAGUUAGAAAGUAUCCUCUGGACCACAGAAGUAGGGAGACUGUCAUGUUGAAAAUUAUUCUCCAGGCUUCAGAAGCAAGAAUUGUCAUAAUAUUCUCCGAAGAAUUGGAAAAGAGCAGGCUCUUGUUCUGAGGUAGAAGCAUAGACUCUUCUAGGCCAUAAAUCUGCUUAUUUUAGUUACAAUAGUGAAAGGGCCAGUGGGCAGCACGGUGAAAAGUACAUGGGCCCAGAAAUUGGGGAGUCGGACGGGGUAGCUCUGAUGUAGGGGAACAUAUUAAUUAAGACCUAGUGUGGGCCUUUCGUAUUCUGGGUCAGAUAGGUAAGGUUCUGUGUGGGCUACCCUGGAAUACAGUGUUGCCUAGGGUUGUGUGAGAGGUGCAGGGAACGCCUAGGAAACUUUGCAGGGAGAAUGUUUUCUAAGCCAACACCUAGAAGACAAGCAAGAGUUUGCUAGGCAGAGAGUGAAGCUGGGCGCGGUUGGGAUCAUGGGGCCGGAUGUGCACAGCUGGGACAAGGGGAAGAGCUGCAGUGGAGAGUGGGGUAUAGUGGAGAGCAAUCAGGGCCAGACUACGCUGGAGGGCCUGGAGGCCUUGGGAGCGGGGACUUUCUCCAAGAGUGGGGGUGCCAGGACAGGGUCCCAAGCAGGGGCCCAACGUGGCCUGGUUUGCUCUUCACUGGCAAGCUCCAUGGCCCUGAGCAAUGUGCUUCUCCUGUUUUUCUUCUCAUCGGUGCCUGCCUGAGCUCUCGAGUCGUUUCCUGCUCUGAGCCUGAAACUUCAAGCAGCAAGAGGACGGUCCACAGUCCCGUUACUGGGGCUCUGCAAACGCGACGUUCCCAAUGGCCCUCUCCCAGGUUCCGGGCCUCCGGGUAUUGGAACUUCUGUCUAUAAAGGAUGAAGACGACCUUGCUCACACUGCAGCGGGAUGGAGAAACGUGACCCAGCGGAGAGGCUUUCGGCUGCGGGGUGCGAGAGGCGACCCGAAGGGUGAAGGCAGGGCGAGCGCGGUCAGCGCCCCCAGCUGGGCGGCCUCCCCGCCGGCCGGGGAAUUCGUUCCCAGCUCCAGCCGCAUCUCACCCUCUAUCGCGCCUCUCGGGCCUCAGAGGGAGGCUGCACGGCCCGGAGGAGGCCUGAAAUCCGCCUUUUGUUCCCUCCCGGGACCGCAGAGCCACAGCACGCUGAGCGCUGCAGUCUGGGCAGCCGGAAGCGCUGGCCGGGCGCCGGGCCAGCGAUCGCCCCGGGUCUGCGCAGGCGCAGGUCGAGGAAGCCGGGUGCGGUCGGAUUUCUGCGGCCCGUGGCUGCCCUCUCGUGGCCGCGAGGCGCCAUGGUACGGCUGCUUCCGCGCAGCGGAGGGGCGCUGGCCGGGAGGCUGCGGGUCCGGACCGGCCAGCCGGGGAGGCCAGCCAAGCGCUGUGUUUUUCCAGUCGCUUUGGAAUGUGUUUCCUCUUGUCCGGGGUUUGAAGAUUAGUCAUGAAAAACUCCACUGUGCCCUUGCUGAAGUGCUUGCUGGCUGCUCGAUCAUUCCACUUCUACGUCCCAAGAAGGUCUGCUAAGGAGAUGGCUUCUUCAGGGCUUCCCUCUUUUCCAUGCGCUCUCAGCUCCAGACUCCGUCUCAUCCGUGGAUAUUAUCCUGUGCCCCGCGGGGAGGAGGGCGGGGGAGGGUUUCUGUGCCUGGAUUAUCGGUGGGAGGAGAGCAAGUGCAGAAGUGAAGCUAUGACUCUCGCAGAAGUCAUGCAUUCCGUUCAAAGAUAUUCCUUUCCGUAGCCUCCACACAUUCCCUCUGGCUGCAGGCCUCUGGAUUUUUCCGUGUGACUCGGUCACAUUGCAUCUGUAUAGAUUAUCAAAGCACCUCAUGACUGUGGAAGAAGAAGUUGGGGACAGAACAUGGAUCUGGAAGGCUCACAGCAUGGACUUGGGAAUGGGUUCGAGGCUUGAGAAGAGAUGUUCACUCACACAUUGGGUCAUUAAAUAAACAUUAGAGGAUGCCCCACUAUGUGCCGGAUGCUGUGCAGGGCACACAGACAUAAAGGCAGGGUCUGUCUUCAAAAGCUGCCACCAGCUGGGCAGAUAAGGUAUGCCUCUUAGUAUCUUUAUAUGGAUUUCUGUAAUUUUUAUGCUAAUUGUUUUUCUCUCCAGAUCUCUCCCAAAAAGGAUGCUUGUAGAAAACGAUAAUUCUGAAAUGGUACAAAUUCCUUUCCCAAAAGGCAUCUCAAAGCCAGCCGCUGCUACUGACUUAUUGAUGGCUAUCAUCCAGUGGCCUUGGGGAGGCGGUGGGCAGCCCAACCACUGCCUGUAAUAAGGAGAGACAACUCAGCAUCCGCCCUGCAGUGAAUAAUAGAACAAAAAGCUGCCGGCGCCUGCAGGAUCAAAGCACAUGAGCAAUCACAGUGUCUCUGGGUUCAACAGAUCAGCGAAGGACAGGCAGUCAGCAGAUGUCAUGGAACUUUUGUGGGGAGAAGUGUGGGUUGUGGAGGAAGCCUCAGCUGGAUUUCAGUACCUUAGAAGAUGCUCUUCUGUGGCUCUCUCCUGCUAACCUUCCUUGGACAUGAAAUACUCUUCCUUCUAUCCUCCCUCUUCACCACUGCUGUUCCCAAAGUCUAAAAAGAUGGGGGCAGGAGGUGAGGCAGGAGGGGAUGGGAAAAGAAUACUGCACCAGGAGGCAGGAGACACUGGAUCUGUGGGUGUAGGCAAUGCUGAAUGACUUCCAUGUCCUCAGUCUCGCCAUCUGUAAAAUGGGAAGGUUGAUAUAUGGCCUCAAACUUUCUGCCCACUUUGAUAAACCAUAUUUCACCAAAAAGAGGCAGAGGGGAUCUGUUGCUUUUCAGGUUCCUGUCCAGUUACUUCUAGGUCAGACAGAAUGAUUGCCCCAAUGAUUCUGGGUCUGCAAACUCCGUCUGUGAACCCCCAUUUCUUGGGGGCGUUGGGAUCAGGACAGGCAAGAAGACUAUAUUAUUCCCUUCUCCUACUUGCUCCCACUUGCCAGUGGGGAAAUCAGUGGCAACCUUAGAGUAAUUUUGAAGGGGCUGGGGGAUGAGUUAUUAUUGGGAUUUUUAUCUGCAAAGAAUAUUUUCAGAUAUUAAUGUUUGUGCCUUUAAAUGUACAUGCAGUUCUAGAGCAGAAGACCCUAGUGGUUGCGGGGCUGUGAGGCAUUUUGCAUAUAUUUAUCUCACUCAAGAAGAACUGUGGGGUCCAUGUGAAAGUAAGUAUGUGUGUGUGUGUAUGUGUGUGCAUGCCCUGAGUCAGCCUGAGUCCUGAGCCUUUUGUCUUUGCUCCUGACUAAGCCAUUGGGAGAGGUAAGUAUAUAAUUGGAGGAAGAAAUCUGUCAGGAAAUAACUUUUUUACUUGUGGAAAGUCAUUGAAAACCCUUGCUUUUGUAUAUGAGCACAGCACCCUGUAGGCAGGUGAGGAGUCUUAGAACAGAGCAGGGAGCAAACCAGACUAGUACCAAAGAAACCUCCAUGUUUGAUAUAAACCUAAUGCACAGGUCCACACAGACAGAGCGUGGAGGUGUGCUCCGCAGGGGCACCGCACAGACCCAUGUGAUGGCAAUCCCGGACACGUGUACAACUAAACAUCCUCACAGAUACAUUUUAGUGUAGGCGGAGACCUGAUGUUAUGGGUUAGACUAUGUCCCCCCACAGAAUAUGUGUACUGAAGUCAUCUUUCAGUACAUGUGACUGAGAUCUUAUUUGGAAAUAGGGUCUUUGCAGAUGUAAACUGGUUAA